AAUGUACACUGAAUAACAACGCGGAAGUUCAUAUAGUCUAUACCCAAAAUCUGGUGUCACAUAACUCACGCAUUACUAAGAUUUACUAAACACAACGUCUGAAAGAAAGUGUAAACUGUUUGUCUCGAAAUACAUGAGAUACAGACUGAAAUACGGAUAGAGGAGACGUCGGGCUUGCAGACACCUGCUAGGCUACUUCGAUGUCUCACUGGAAUGAGCUCGCUCCCAGGCUACUGUUGCUGCUCAAAAACUGCCCCAGUAUCUGCACAUAAGUGUAGAGUGUAGCAUCAGCACAACCGACCACAUGUGUUGGUAAAUGUCUGGCC
rnacentral:lncRNA from 1 species